AUGCUAUGGUCCACAAAGACACCUGGAAACACUCUACAGCGUCUAACCUUCCCAAGUGCAACUGAGUGCAGGAGAGCUUGGGGCUCAAAGACAGUGAGAAGAAAUCACGUCCAUAUUCACGCUGGCAGAGCUGGGAUUCAAAGUCUGUCUCCAAAGCUCAACUUCCUUCCAAAACCUUACAAGUUAUUAACAAAGAAACAGAAAACAAGCAGCUUAUUAUCAAUGGGCUCUUUUUACUUCAAAGGUUAUGUCUCAUACACAAAUCAUAUAUAUAUAUAUAUAUAUGGCACAGUGAAAUUUUUAUGUUUUAAGAGCAUAUGCAUAAUGAUGAAAGCAAUAUGAUUUCUCAUAUCCCACUGAGUACAGGCUACUGAGCUUGAGUUGAAAGAUACCAUAUUGUUUUUAAAAAUGAGUUUGCAGAAGUAAGCUUCAUUUCUUCCUUAAAGAACCAAAAUACAAAGACUGUCUCAAGGCCAUCGACUCCUAGUUGGCUCACGUCAGGCAUGACAUCCAUGAAGAGCUCACUAAGAAAUUAGAAAAACGGAUCAGAGGGGCUACUGAAUCUUUCCAAAGGCUACCUCUGAGAAAGAAAUGAGUGUUCCGUUGAGAAAAAUUAGUCUUAAUUUUGGAAAUUUACUUGUAUAAGAAUUCUAAAUUUAAUUCUGGUAUACAACUUAUAUAUAUCUGCCCUUCCCGAGGCAGUUACAAGAUAGCGUGUUAGCAGGUGAAGUCCUUUGAUUAGAUGAGACAACAUACCCAACAAAUAGCAGGCUAAAUCUUCAAAACGAGAUGGAAAGGUCAUUGUUCCAAACUUUCCUAGCAUCCUUUCCUCCCUUUGAAAACUGUUCCUUCUUCUGCUCUAUCUUGUUUUCCAGUGAUCCCAGAGCACGGAGACACUGUUUCUUUAAUAUUUUUAAUAGAACUCUAUGAAAAGUAUACACAACGUAUUAGGCUUAAAGGCUAAAGAAGUAGAUUGAUAGCUCACCUGUCUGCGUAUCACACCACCUGCUGUUGUAGCUGAUCGGCACAAGAGAAAUACCAGCCCCAAGUAGUGUUACAGGGUCUUGAUCCCCGGGACACAGAUAAGAGGCCCCAGGGCGGACACCUGACCUAAUCCUGCACUGUCAGAGAACGUCUCGGGGAUUUUCCACUCUGAGGGUCAAGAUCUCUGCUGGGGAUCCUCGAGGACUGUCUCUCUCAUAGGCCACAUGGUGAAGACCUACUGUAGGAGAGAGGGCAGAGUCUGGACAGAGCUCUAGACUUCCAUGCAGCUUCGCUUUUUAACCCUCUUUUCAGUAUUAUAGGAGUCUUUCAGCAAAAUCUCAACUUCUUCUGGGCUCGUACAAAUUGGAUUUCCAUAAGCCAUAGACAAGGAAUUUCUGAAUCAAACAGAAACAUCAAGACCAAAGGAAUAGUCCCUCAUGGCAUCAACAUUUUUGUGAAUGUCAGUGGUAAGGCUAAAAACAAAAAGUUUUCAAUUUGCUUUAGUGUUCAAAAAAGAAAUCUUAGAUAUCUUUAGAUGUCUUAAUCUUUAGAUAUCUUAAUCUUAAUUGUAGAUAUCUUAAUCUUAGAUAGCUUAAUCUUAAUCUUUAGAUAUCUUAAUCUUUAGAUAUCUCAAUCUUUAGAUAUCUUAAUCUUAAUCUUAGAUAUCUUAGAAAUCUUCCUUGGUGUGUGCUCAGCUGUGUCUGACUCUUUAAAACUUUAUGGACCGUAGCCUGCCCAGGCUCCUCGGUCCAGGGAUUUCCCAGGUAAGAAUAGUAGAGUGGGUUGCCAUUUCCUUCUCCGAGGGACCUUCCCAACCCAGGGACGAACACACGUCUCCUGCGUCUUCUGCCCUGGCAGGCAGAUUCGUUACCACAAGGCAAAUUGAAAGUGGUCAAACAAGAGAUGGCAAGGGUGAACGUAGACAUUCUAGGAAUC
ensembl:lncRNA